AUGCCAACUAAGAAUGUGAAGAUCAAUAUAUCUGAAAAAGUGAUACAUACAAUCAGUAGAAACAGAGGGCAAAAAUACAAAGGAACGAAACAGAUAAAAUUGUUGCUUACGAAUCAAGUGCUGCUUCUUCUGCUUCUACACGGAGAUAUAUUGGCUGUGAGUAUCGAGCAACUGCUUUGCUUUGCAUGCUAUAACCCCCGAAGGGCAUCCUCGUCGUUCAAUAGCCGUUGGCCGUCGUUGUUGCAACAGCAGUCACAUCGCGGGCGCGCGAUAGUUGGUGUUGAGUUCAGUGAGGAUGCAGGCCGAGAGCCACGCAGGUCGCCGCCGGCGAGCACCUUAACCCCACACGGCUAG
rnacentral:rRNA from 1 species